AUUGAACGCUGGCGGCAUGCCUUACACAUGCAAGUCGAACGGCAGCACGGGAGCAAUCCUGGUGGCGAGUGGCGAACGGGUGAGUAAUACAUCGGAACGUGCCCAAUCGUGGGGGAUAACGCAGCGAAAGCUGUGCUAAUACCGCAUACGAUCUACGGAUGAAAGCAGGGGAUCGCAAGACCUUGCGCGAAUGGAGCGGCCGAUGGCAGAUUAGGUAGUUGGUGAGGUAAAGGCUCACCAAGCCGUCGAUCUGUAGCUGGUCUGAGAGGACGACCAGCCACACUGGGACUGAGACACGGCCCAGACUCCUACGGGAGGCAGCAGUGGGGAAUUUUGGACAAUGGGCGAAAGCCUGAUCCAGCCAUGCCGCGUGCAGGAUGAAGGCCUUCGGGUUGUAAACUGCUUUUGUACGGAACGAAACGGCCUUUUCUAAUAAAGAGGGCUAAUGACGGUACCGUAAGAAUAAGCACCGGCUAACUACGUGCCAGCAGCCGCGGUAAUACGUAGGGUGCAAGCGUUAAUCGGAAUUACUGGGCGUAAAGCGUGCGCAGGCGGUUAUGUAAGACAGUUGUGAAAUCCCCGGGCUCAACCUGGGAACUGCAUCUGUGACUGCAUAGCUAGAGUACGGUAGAGGGGGAUGGAAUUCCGCGUGUAGCAGUGAAAUGCGUAGAUAUGCGGAGGAACACCGAUGGCGAAGGCAAUCCCCUGGACCUGUACUGACGCUCAUGCACGAAAGCGUGGGGAGCAAACAGGAUUUAGAUACUCCUUGUAGUCCAAUGACGAAUUCCACAUUGGGCUGCGGCCCCGGGGAUCCACUAGUUCUAGAGCGGCCGCACCGCGUGAGCUCCAAAUAAACACUAUAAAGAGUCG
rnacentral:rRNA from 1 species